rnacentral:rRNA from 1 species
UAUCGCCCAAGGAUGAGCCCGCGUAAGAUUAGCUAGUUGGUGGGGUAAGGCCUACCAAGGCGACGAUCUUUAGCUGGUCUGAGAGGAUGAUCAGCCACACUGGGACUGAGACACGGCCCAGACUCCUACGGGAGGCAGCAGUGGGGAAUAUUGGACAAUGGGCGAAAGCCUGAUCCAGCAAUGCCGCGUGAGUGAUGAAGGCCUUAGGGUUGUAAAGCUCUUUUACCAGGGAUGAUAAUGACAGUACCUGGAGAAUAAGCUCCGGCUAACUCCGUGCCAGCAGCCGCGGUAAUACGGAGGGAGCUAGCGUUGUUCGGAAUUACUGGGCGUAAAGCGUGCGUAGGCGGUGACUCAAGUCAGAGGUGAAAGCCUGGAGCUCAAUUCCAGAACUGCCUUUGAAACUAGGUCGCUAAAUCUGGGAAGGUGAGUGGAAUUCCGAGUGUAAGGUGGAAAUUCGUAGAUUUCGGGAAGAACACCAGUGGCGAAGGCGGUCACUGGACCAGAUUGACGCUGAGGCACGGAAAAGCCGUUGGGGGAAGCAAACCAGGGAUUUANGAUUACCCCUGGGGUUAGUCCCAAGGCCCGGGUAAACGGAUUGGA